CUUCUUCAUACCUGUCACUUUUUAGUCACUGCUGCACUUACGUGCAAUUAUCUCAGGCUGUUUGUGUGUUAGUGGGGUUCCUGUGCAAACUGGUCAGAAUAUUUUGACCUGUUUGCAGUAUUUGUUUAAGCAUGGACAGCCAGGGGAGGAAAGUGGUGGUCUGUGACAAUGGCACAGGGUUUGUCAAGUGCGGCUUUGCCGGCUCCAACUUCCCUGAGCACAUCUUCCCAGCACUGGUGGGCCGGCCAAUCAUACGAUCGUCUACCAAAGUGGGCAACAUUGAGAUCAAGGACUUAAUGGUGGGAGAUGAAGCCAGCGAGUGUCGGUCCAUGCUGGAGAUGUCCUACCCCAUGGAGAACGGUAUGGUGCGCAACUGGGAAGACAUGCUCCACUUGUGGGACCACACCUUUGGCCCUGAAUGCCUGGGCAUCAACCCACCAGAAUGCAAGAUUCUUCUGACUGAACCGCCCAUGAACCCAACCAAAAACCGUGAGAAAAUCACCGAAGUCAUGUUUGAGAAGUACCAGUUCCACGGCAUCUAUGUGGCAAUUCAGGCUGUGCUCACUCUGUAUGCUCAAGGUUUGCUCACCGGUGUUGUCGUUGAUUCGGGAGAUGGCGUCACCCACAUCUGUCCAGUGUACGAAGGCUUUUCUUUGCCCCACCUUACGCGCAGGCUGGAUAUUGCAGGACGUGAGGUCACACGCUACCUGAUUAAGCUCCUGCUGCUUCGCGGCUACGCCUUCAACCACACAGCUGACUUUGAGACCGUGCGUAUGUUGAAGGAGAAGCUCUGCUAUGUGGCAUACGACAUUGAGCAAGAGCAGCGUCUGGCCACAGAGACCACUUACCUGGUGGAGUCAUUCACGCUGCCCGACGGCAGGCAGGUGAAGGUGGGUGGAGAACGAUUUGGGGCUCCUGAAGCUCUUUUCCAGCCUCAUCUCAUCAACGUGGAGGGAGCCGGAGUGGCCGAGCUGCUCUUUAACACCAUCCAGGCUGCAGACAUUGACCUCAGAGCCGACUUCUAUAAGCACAUUGUUCUGUCAGGGGGGACCACCAUGUACCCGGGCCUUCCAUCCAGGCUAGAAAGAGAGAUCAAGCAGCUCUACCUGGAAAGGGUGCUUAAAGGAGACACUAAGAAACUAUCAAACUUUAAGAUUCGAAUCGAGGACCCUCCCAGGCGUAAACACAUGGUGUUCAUGGGUGGAGCUGUGCUGGCCAACAUCAUGAAAGACAAGGACUCCUUCUGGCUGACUAGACAAGAAUACCAGGAGAAAGGCCUGGGAGUGCUGCAGAAACUGGGAUGUGGAAUCAGAUAAAGGAAAAUCGAGUAAAAUAGAAUAUAUAUAUAUCCAUAUAUAUAUGGAGACUCUGAAAGUCUCCAAAAUAGUUGACAUUUUCCAUAUUUGUUGUAUAUAUAUAUAUAUAUAUAACAAAUAUGGAAAAUGUCAAUUAUUUUUUGUACUUUUAAAUCAAGACCUUACCUCUACAGAAAAUCUCACCUCCAUUCACUGACUUUUCUCCAUCUUUGCUAGUGCUAAAACAGUCCCCAAAUGAUAAUUAAAAAACAACUUUGUAAGCUUUUUGUAAAGGUAAUUUUCAAAAAUGAGGUUUUUCAGCUUAUAUAAUUUCAAACAUAAUAGUUAAUGGUUUUCUGAACUAUUUCAAAACAGUUUUGAUUGAUGAUUAAUCUUAAAAAAAAUCAUAAACUCUGAAAGUCUCCAUUGUAAAGUUUCAGGAAUUCAUUAGUUACACCCAUAAUGACUGGAAGUUUGAGGUCAGUACUGUGCAAAUGUUUUGAGCCACGUCUAAUUUCUUUAUAUUUUACUAGGAAAAUAGGAAAUAGGUGCAGUGACGUGGGCUCAUUGUCAUGCUUAAAAAUGUUUUCCAGAAAUAAAAACUUUGAAAGACCUUCAGAAUGUCUCGAACUACUGCUUAAGACCAUUAAAAAUAAAUAUAUUUAAAAAAAUAUAAGAAAGUUUGGCCCUUGGAAACAAAAUAUGAAGAAAUUAUGGGCUACUCAAGAUUAUCACAUAAUACUAUAUGCAUUGAAACAGUAGUUUAAAACAGUUUUACACAUUUUAUCUUAAUAAGUUUUAAUUCAUCCUUACAAGACUAUUACAGAACAAAAACAAGAAUAUUUGAAACAUUACAGCCAGAAUUAAAUGAUUUUGUUAAAAUCCAUUACUAAUUCAUUUUGGGGGUGUAUUUACCCCCACACUGUACCAACAAAAGUACCCUACACUGGAAAAAAUAUUUUAAAUAUUUUACCUAAAUAUUUAUUUAGGUAACAAUUCCGACACACAAAUAUUUUCAGUAAAGUUUACUUACUAGAAAGAAUUUAUUUAAUCAAAAAUAUUCAGAGAAUUUUACUCACAAAACCCACUGUGCACCCACAGUUUUCACUUAGUCUAUUUUGGCAUCUCAUUAUAUUACUCCUCUUUUAUUUACUUUGUGUAUAUGAGUAAGUGCUCAGGUCUUUGCAGUUGGUGGUGUUGGCUUUUGGAUUCUUGUAGAGUUUUCACUGUUUUUAUGCGCUUAAAUUUUUUUAUCAAGUUGAGUUUGAUGUUUUCAUUUCUUGAUAAUUCCAAAUAUAGUAUUAAUUUGAAUUUUUGUUUCCUUUGUUUUCUGCACUUUAGGUUUUGGACUUUGGUUUUUUUUUCUAAUCUGAAUAAAGGUUUGUUUUUUCUGUCCUCUCAAACUGCCUUUGAGUCCUCACUGCAUGUAUCAGAAAAAGCAUGUAUCACUUCUAUAGACAUGAAUGUUCAAUGAAGUGACAAAUAUAUAGGGCUUCUCUAGGCUUACUGACCAUUUAUAAGUAAACUGAUGAAUGAGCUGUGUACAAAAAACUGCAAAGAAUUUGUGUGUGGACUCCCCCCCCCCUCCUAAA